AGCGAACGCUGGCGGCAGGCCUAACACAUGCAAGUCGAACGGACCCUUCGGGGUUAGUGGCGGACGGGUGAGUAACACGUGGGAACGUGCCCUUUGGUUCGGAACAACUCAGGGAAACUUGAGCUAAUACCGAAUGUGCCCUUCGGGGGAAAGAUUUAUCGCCAUUGGAGCGGCCCGCGUCUGAUUAGCUAGUUGGUGGGGUAAUGGCCCACCAAGGCGACGAUCAGUAGCUGGUCUGAGAGGAUGAUCAGCCACAUUGGGACUGAGACACGGCCCAAACUCCUACGGGAGGCAGCAGUGGGGAAUCUUGCGCAAUGGGCGAAAGCCUGACGCAGCCAUGCCGCGUGAAUGAUGAAGGUCUUAGGAUUGUAAAAUUCUUUCACCGGGGACGAUAAUGACGGUACCCGGAGAAGAAGCCCCGGCUAACUUCGUGCCAGCCGCCGCGGUAAAAC
rnacentral:rRNA from 1 species